rnacentral:rRNA from 1 species
CAGUCGCCGCGGUAAUACGAAGGGUGCAAGCGUUAAUCGGAAUUACUGGGCGUAAAGCGUGCGUAGGCGGUGAGUUAAGUCUGCUGUGAAAUCCCCGGGCUCAACCUGGGAAUGGCAGUGGAUACUGGCUCGCUAGAGUGUGUCAGAGGAUGGUGGAAUUCCCGGUGUAGCGGUGAAAUGCGUAGAGAUCGGGAGGAACAUCAGUGGCGAAGGCGGCCAUCUGGGACAACACUGACGCUGAAGCACGAAAGCGUGGGGAGCAAACAGGAUUAGAUACCCCCGUAGUCCCUGUCUCUUAUAA